CCCUUAGAAGCGAAGGCGAUCGCACCUAGUUUCGGCCUAGGCUCUGCUGCUACUGGCCUGAGGAA
rnacentral:tRNA from 1 species